rnacentral:rRNA from 1 species
GCAAGUCGAACGGAUACAUAAGAGGGGUAACCCUCUUGUGUGUGAGUGGCAAACGGGUGAGUAACACGUAGGAAAUCUGCCUUCAAGCGGAGAACAACCCACCGAAAGGUGAGCUAAUGCUGCAUAAUACUAUUUGGGGUUCGCCCCGAAUAUUUAAACCCGCAAGGGACUUGAAGAUGAUCCUGCGUUCUAUCAGCUAGUUGGUGAGGUAACGGCUCACCAAGGCUACGACGGAUAGCCGGCCUGAAAGGGUGGUC